UACAGAGGUCCCAAGCGUUGUUCGGAUUCAUUGGGCGUAAAGGGCGCGUAGGUGGUUCUGUAUGUCUACCGUGAAAGCGUACGGCUCAACCGUAUUUUGUCGGUAGAAACUGCAGGACUUGAGGCUGGGAGGGGCUGGUGGAAUUCCCUGUGUAGCGGUGAAAUGCGUAGAGAUGGGGGAGAACACUCGUGGCGAAGGCGGCCAGCUAGACCAGUUCUGACACUGAGGCGCGACAGCGUGGGGAGCAAACAGG
rnacentral:rRNA from 1 species